UUAUGUUCUAUGUAUAAUAUUGAAGCCCAUGAUUUUCCAAACAAAAUGGUAUAUAGAACAGUAUAAUUAACAUUGUUUUCAAGCUUCUCAGAUCCGUUUUAAUAAAACCUUGCAAAUGAGCAAAAAAUAGGCAGACAUUAAGGCCAAAACAAGGGACACUCGGAGGGUUAAACACUGCUCCUCACAAGCUCGUAGCAAUAGACAAACAUCACCAUCAACAGUAAUGAAACAAGUAAAUUUUAGGCUAAUCUGAACUUCAAAAAGCAUCUUAAAUACUAUAACUGGAAGGAUUGUGCGAUUCAGUUUCAUAUCAAUAUUUAUUAAACCCAAAGAAAUAUUACCACUAUAUGAUAUAAUUAAUCUAAUAUUCAUAUUUAUGUUGGUGUUAGGAGUUUUAUUUAUUUUCAUGUUGGUUGUUUAUAAAAAAAUGUUUUAUUGGGUUUUAUUUAAGAUUAUCAGUCACAUAUUUAUGAUAUGUCAGGGUCAAGAGUCGAUCUCUUUUAGUUUUGAUUGCAUACUUAACAUUUUAUUAUUACCUGUAUUUUUUGUAACCUUGACCUUUGUAACCAGCUAAGUAAAAAAGUUUCGCGUUUAGGUUUUGAGAUUCGGGAUUCGAUUUUUAAAAGUUUCGGUUUCGGUUUUGAGAUUCAAAAUUUCUGGUUUUGACCAUCACUAAUUUUUAGCACUGCACCAUUCUUUCAACAAAAUAGACAUUUUGUAUAACAUUUUUUUUUAUCAAUUAUCUCUAUAAGUAAGCUCCCGAAAUUAAUGUCAUCUUGUUAUGUGAUUUGAAAAACUGUGCCUAAGCUAGAAAUUUGUAUGGCUAUGCAAAAGAAUAUCUUGAUAAGAAUGUAAAUCACAUGUAUUAUAAUGUUAUAGGUAAAGUAGUUAUUUAUCAUAUAAUUCUCAAUUAUUUGUUGAUGACAGUGUUGUUAUAGUACCGGUACUCAAAAAUGCAUCUUCAAAUAUAUCUUAAAGUUGGAAGUGAGACUAAGAAGAAGUCUUGAAAUGCACUUAAAAGUGCAAAAGCCAGAAAAAUAAUUGUAUCAGUUGUAGUAAACAAUUAUAAACAUUUCAGUAAAUUUUGUUUUUAUUGCUUAGUAAUGACUUCUGUAGAGAAUUCUUAGAUUGUUUCUGAAAAUAUAUCAUACGAUAUUCUAUUUAAAUUUUUAAAUUAUUUUAAUAAUGUAAUAGCUUUGAUUUACCUUUGCUCUAGAAGAUGUAACAGCUGUUUUAUUUUUAUUCAGUGUUAAGUUAUCCCCAACCCAAAGAUGUAAAAUAUGAAGUUUUUCCAAUAUUUUUUGUAAGUUUCUAACUACCUGAAAGUAUAAUCAUAGACUAAACAACACAAGUAAUGUUUUAUGGUUUUAUCUAUGGUAUAAUCCAUAACUAAUAUUGAAGACAAUUCCGUAGUCAAUGGUAGCGCAUAUCAUAUAUCCAAAGUUAUAUGGAAUCUGAUAUUUUUCACAUAACAUGACCAAAUAAAUUUAUUGUUAUUUUUAAA